GUGCUUGCCUUGGCAGCACAUAUAUUAAAAUUGAAAUGAUUCAGAGAAGAUUAUCAUGGCCACUGCCCAAGGAUGACAUGCAUAUUCGUGAAGCAAUCAGUAUUUUU
ensembl:snRNA U6 U6 spliceosomal RNA